GAUGAACGCUGGCGGCGUGCCUAAUACAUGCAAGUCGAGCGAACAGACGAGGAGCUUGCUCCUCUGACGUUAGCGGCGGACGGGUGAGUAACACGUGGAUAACCUACCUAUAAGACUGGGAUAACUUCGGGAAACCGGAGCUAAUACCGGAUAAUAUAUUGAACCGCAUGGUUCAAUAGUGAAAGACGGUUUUGCUGCCACUUAUAGAUGGAUCCGCGCCGCAUUAGCUAGUUGGUAAGGUAACGGCUUACCAAGGCAACGAUGCGUAGCCGACCUGAGAGGGUGAUCGGCCACACUGGAACUGAGAAACGGUCCAGACUCCUACGGGAGGCAGCAGUAGGGAAUCUUCCGCAAUGGGCGAAAGCCUGACGGAGCAACGCCGCGUGAGUGAUGAAGGUCUUCGGAUCGUAAAACUCUGUUAUUAGGGAAGAACAAAUGUGUAAGUAACUAUGCACGUCUUGACGGUACCUAAUCAGAAAGCCACGGCUAACUACGUG
rnacentral:rRNA from 1 species